UACGUAGGGGGCAAGCGUUGUCCGGAAUUAUUGGGCGUAAAGAGCUCGUAGGCGGUUCGUCGCGUCGGCUGUGAAAACCUGAGGCUCAACCUCAGGCCUGCAGUCGAUACGGGCGGACUUGAGUACUGCAGGGGAGACUGGAAUUCCUGGUGUAGCGGUGAAAUGCGCAGAUAUCAGGAGGAACACCGGUGGCGAAGGCGGGUCUCUGGGCAGUAACUGACGCUGAGGAGCGAAAGCGUGGGGAGCGAACAGG
rnacentral:rRNA from 1 species